ACAAAAGAAGUCUACAGAUUGUUAGAUGGUCCAGGAAAAGUCCUCCUGAAGUCCAAGGACCCAAUUGCAGUGGUUAAUGCAGCUAGAAAAAAUCACCUGGAAGGGUGGUUUUCAGUUGUUACAGGAAGCAGGUAUUAAAACUGUUUUCACCAGAAAAUGUGGAGAGACAGCUUUCAUUGCACCCUAGUGUGAAGUGGUUCCAAUUGAAUGGGUUUGCAGGAUAGCAACUGGUUUGUUUCUCGAAAGAAAUAAAUCCCAGUGUCAAGGAAGGAUAUAAGUUUUAUCCAUCUAAAGUGAAGAUGUUUUUCAAGGAUGAUGCCAAUAAUGACCCACAAUGAUCUGAGGAACAGUUGAUUGUUGCAAAAUUUUGCUUUAUUGGACUUGUUAUAGGCCAAACUGAAGGGGAUAUCAUGAGUCAUGCUACACAGGUUAUUUUUGAAAUACUGGAGAAAUCCUGGUUACCCCAGAACUAUACCCUGGUUGAUAUGAAGAUUGAAUUUGGUGUUGAUAUAACCACCAAAGAAAUGGUUCUUGCUGAUGAUUCCUGGAGACUGGCCAUUACGAGAUUGAAGCCAACAGAAAGACAAACAGUCUUACUGGGAGCUCAAAGAAGUAACUCCUGAAGGGCUCCAAAUGGUAAAGAAAAGCUUUGAGUGGGUUGCAGAGAGAGUCAAGUUGCUUUUGAAAUCGGAAAGUUAGUGCACAAUUGUAGUAUUGAUGAGCUCUAUUUCUGAUCUUGGUCACUGUGAAAACAUCAAGGUCUGUAGAAAUGUUGGCACUCCAUGUGAACUAUCCACACAUAGAGGACCAAAUGAAACCCUAAAAAUUAAAGCUGCGUGUGAAGGGGAUGGCAUUGCUGUUGUACUUGUGGCAGUGGCAGGCAGAAGCAAUGGUUUGGGACCAGUGAUGUCUGGGAACACUGCAUAUCCAGUUAUCAGCUGUCCUCCCCUCACACCAGACUGGGGAGCUCAGGAUAUGUGGUCUCUCUUUGAGUACCUAGUGGUCUUGGCUGUUCAACCAUCCUUUCUCCAGAAGGAUUAGGUCAGUUUGCGGCUCAGUAUUUGGAUUAAACAACCAUUUGGUAUGGGGCAAACUGCAAGCAGGCAUUUUGAACACAUGGAUUUCCUUGAAGCUGGCUGACAAGAAAAUCAGAUAAUGUAAUUUAUGA
rnacentral:lncRNA from 1 species